rnacentral:rRNA from 1 species
AUGAACGCUGGCGGCGUGCCUCAUACAUGCAAGUCGAGCGAACAGAUGAGGAGCUUGCUCCUCUGACGUUAGCGGCGGACGGGUGAGUAACACGUGGAUAACCUACCUAUAAGACUGGGAUAACUUCGGGAAACCGGAGCUAAUACCGGAUAAUAUAUUGAACCGCAUGGUUCAAUAGUGAAAGACGGUUUUGCUGUCACUUAUAGAUGGAUCCGCGCCGCAUUAGCUAGUUGGUAAGGUAACGGCUUACCAAGGCGACGAUGCGUAGCCGACCUGAGAGGGUGAUCGGCCACACUGGAACUGAGACACGGUCCAGACUCCUACGGGAGGCAGCAGUAGGGAAUCUUCCGCAAUGGGCGAAAGCCUGACGGAGCAACGCCGCGUGAGUGAUGAAGGUCUUCGGAUCGUAAAACUCUGUUAUUAGGGAAGAACAAAUGUGUAAGUAACUAUGCACGUCUUGACGGUACCUAAUCAGAAAGCCACGGCCAACUACGUG